rnacentral:misc_RNA from 1 species
GAACGCACAUUGCGCCUCCGGGUAUUCCUGGAGGCAUGCCUGUUCGAGCGUCGUUAAAGACCAUGAGGCUUUGCCUUGCGAUGAGCCUCUGGCCGUCUCUUUUCGAGAAAGCCAGUCGCUUCAAACUGAUUGGCGUCUGAAGUCAGCCCAAGCACAGCAAAAUGUGUUCUGAGCCUGGCGGAACGACUGCCCGUACCUAAAUCAUUUAUUGGUCGACCUCGGAUCAGGCAAGAUUACCCGCUGAACUUAAG